rnacentral:rRNA from 1 species
AUUAAACGCUGGCGGCAUGCCUUACACAUGCAAGUCGAACGGCAGCACGGGGGCAACCCUGGUGGCGAGUGGCGAACGGGUGAGUAAAGCAUCGGAACGUGCCCUGGAGUGGGGGAUAACGUAGCGAAAGUUACGCUAAUACCGCAUAUUCUGUGAGCAGGAAAGCAGGGGAUCGCAAGACCUUGCGCUCUGGGAGCGGCCGAUGUCGGAUUAGCUAGUUGGUGGGUAAAGGCCUACCAAGGCGACGAUCCAUAGCUGGUUUGAGAGGAUGAUCAGCCACACUGGGACUGAGACACGGCCCAGACUCCUACGGGAGGCAGCAGUGGGGAAUUUGGACAAUGGGCGAAAGCCUGAUCCAGCCAUGCCGCGUGAGUGAAGAAGGCC